rnacentral:rRNA from 1 species
UACGUAGGGUGCGAGCGUUAAUCGGAAUUACUGGGCGUAAAGCGUGCGCAGGCGGUUUUGUAAGUCAGAUGUGAAAUCCCCGGGCUUAACCUGGGAACUGCGUUUGAAACUACAAGGCUAGAGUGUGGCAGAGGGGGGUGGAAUUCCACGUGUAGCGGUGAAAUGCGUAGAGAUGUGGAGGAACACCGAUGGCGAAGGCAGGUCUCUGGGCUGACACUGACGCUCAUGCACGAAAGCGUGGGGAGCAAACAGG